CCCGCUGAACUUAAGCAUAUCAAUAAGCGGAGGAAAAGAAACCAACAGGGAUUGCCCCUAGUAACGCGAGUGAAGCGGCAACAGCUCAAAUUUGAAAGCUGGCUUAGGCCCGCAUUGUAAUUUGCAGAGGAUGCUUUUGGUGAGGUGCCUUCCGAGUUCCCUGGAACGGGACGCCAUAGAGGGUGAGAGCCCCGUAUGGAUGGACACCAAACCUGUGUAAAGCUCCUUCAACGAGUCGAGUAGUUUGGGAAUGCUGCUCAAAAUGGGAGGUAAAUCUCUUCUAAAGCUAAAUACCGGCCAGAGACCGAUAGCGCACAAGUAGAGUGAUCGAAAGAUGAAAAGCACCUUGAAAAGGGGGUUAAACAGUACGUGAAAUUGUUGAAAGGGAAGCGCUUGUGACCAGACUUGCGCCGGGCAGCUCAUCAGGGGUUCUCCCCUGUGCACUCUGCCCGGCUCAGGCCAGCAUCGGUUCUCGUGGGAGGAUAAGAACAGUAGGAAUGUGGCCCCCUCUCGGGGGGGUGUUAUAGCCUAUUGUACGAUACUCUCGUGGGGACCGAGGUUCGCGCUCCGCAAGGAUGCUGGCGUAAUGGUCAUCAGCGACCCGUCUUGAAACACGGACCAAGGAGUCGUCCAUUAGAGCGAGCGUUUGGGUGUAAAACCCGCACGCGUAAUGAAAGUGAACGCAGGUGAGAGCUUCGGCGCAUCAUCGACCGAUCCUGAUGUCUUCGGAUGGAUUUGAGUAAGAGUUUUAACGGACGGACCCGAAAGACAGUGAACUAUGCUUGUAUAGGGUGAAGCCAGAGGAAACUCUGGUGGAGGCUCGCAGCGGUUCUGACGUGCAAAUCGAUCGUCAAAUAUGAGCAUGGGGGCCGAAACCACUAAUCGAAUUUUCCCCCCCCGU
rnacentral:rRNA from 1 species